AAAGAAUGUGGGGGGAAGGUAGGGCGAGCAGGGGCCUCCGCUCAUCCGGUCCCACCAACUCACCUAGAUGAAAUCCUCUUGUGGUAGCAUGGAAGACGAAUUUAAAGGCAAGUCUGAAGUCUGCAUACCAGUGUGGAAGAUGAAUACCUCAGAAGGAACUAAGGAAUUGCGCUGACAUAGCUACAACAAGGGUAUUAAAGAACAAACAACCAAAAUAUAAGUCAAAUGAGUGGCUCUUGCAGGACAUGAUUCUCUUCUCCCAAGGCCUCCUCUUUUACUUGGGUUCAUGUUUAGAAAAUGAGACAUGGGGAAAAGCUGGCUUCACUCCAGAGUAGCAGUGGUUAUGAAGACAAAGGCCUAAGACUCUGUUUCAACAGCUUCUACAACAUUUCUGCCUUAA